rnacentral:lncRNA from 1 species
AACAACUACCUCUUCCCCUACUGUAUUUAUUUAUUUUAUUUAUUUUGCUCCUUUGCAUCAUAUUAUUUAUAUUUUAACUUUUAACUUUCUUCAAACUACAAAUCUACCAUUCCAGUGUUUUUCUUGCCAUACUUUAUUUACUUUGCCACCAUGGCAUUUUUUUUGCCUUCACCUCCCUUAUCUCACAUCAUUUGCUCACAUUGUAUAUAGUCUUAUUUUUUUCUACUGCAUCAUUGAUUGUAUGUUGUUUUACUCCAUGUGUAACUCUGUGUUUUUGUAUGUUGUCGAACUGCUUUGCUUUAUCUUGGCCAGGUCGCAAUUGUAAAUGAGAACUUGUUCUCAACUUGCCUACCUGGUUAAAUAAAGGUGAAAUAAAAAAUGUUGUCACCAAUGCAAACAUAUUUUCACUUUGAGAUUUCCCAACACUGCCCCCUUUCUCCACCUCUCUCUCUAUCCCCACUUUCCUUCUCUCUCAGGAUUAAGAUCCUGGGUGUGUUUGUGGAGCGGCUGUUGGAGUCUGUUCUUUCGGAGGAUACCCCCAGCCAUGGGCAGUCUGGACGCGGCCAAGCAAUGUCUGCAAGACCUGGGGGCUCUGACGGCUGACGAGAAGCUCACCCCUCUGAACUACCACCUGGCCUGUCUGCCCAUGGACGUCCGCAUUAGCAAACUCAUGCUGUUUGGUGCCAUCUUCCGCUGCCUGGACCCUGCCCUCACAGACGCUGCCAGCCUGGCCUUCCCCCUUCAAAAAGCACUUUUUACUACUGUUUGCCUGAGUUUACUAAUGGCAGUCUAUCAGAGCCUUGGGUUGAAUUGGAAUGAGUAGAAAUGUGAACUUCCGUGAGGCUUUCCAUUUUCACACAGACGGUCACAAGUUUCUCUCUCCUAUUCCCCCUCUCCUGUUUUUUCUCUUCUUUUUUUUCUCCUCUCCUGCAGUGUUUUCUUCCUGUGGCCAGGUGUCUCCUUGGGAUAAGAGGGAGGAGGCCAAUGAGAAUAAGCUGAGUUACGCCCUGGCUAACAGUGACCAUCUGGCCCUGCUGCAGGGAUACAAGGCCAACCGCAACUCUGACAACAUUGACAACAUCAGGUUGCUCUGUGCUGCCCUUUAUCCCAAUGUAGUUCAGGUGAGGUCUCCUCAUGAGAAGUUCAAGCAGACCAGUAAAGGUGCGGUGAAGAUGAAGACGAGCUGCGCUACAUGA